rfam:Jiangella alkaliphila strain DSM 45079 genome assembly, chromosome: I
GCCGGUCCUCGGUUGUGGCCCUCGGGAGCGGCUGACCCGCGGGCUUCCAUCGAAGACCGGC